rnacentral:rRNA from 1 species
UACGGGGGGAGCAAGCGUUGUUCGGAUUUACUGGGCGUAAAGGGCGCGUAGGCGGUCGUGACAAGUCACUUGUGAAAUCUCCGGGCUUAACUCGGAACGGUCAAGUGAUACUGUCGGACUAGAGUACAGAAGGGGCAACUGGAAUUCUCGGUGUAGCGGUGAAAUGCGUAGAUAUCGAGAGGAACACCUGCGGCGAAGGCGGCGAACUGGACAGUAACUGACACUCAACUGCGAAAGCGUGGGGAGCAAACAGG